UUCUUUCCUUUUCUUUUAUUUUUUUAAAGCUGUUUAUUCUCUUAUUGUCGAUAUUUCCACUAUUUUAUUUCAUGAACUCUUUGCAUACUUGGUGGAGUGCCAAAGUUCUCUUUUUUAUAAUAUAUAUAAGAAAAUAGUUGUUGUUGAGUUGAGCUCAACUGAUGUUUAUAUCUCUUGGUGUAUUUUGUUGUCAUGAUGUUGUUUGUGUGCUGCAGGCCAUGUCACCUUAAGCAUCAUCUGCUCAAUUUUAUUGGAAUGCAAACAGAUAUGAGAAUCUGCCACGAGGUAUUUGAAAAGACAGUUGGAUUGUGACAGCAAGGCUAGUCAUCUCCUCAUGAGCUUCAAGUCGUGCUGUGAGGAGCAAGAUUUUGUGUUGCACAAUGCGAAGGCGAGGUCGAUCAUUUAUAGACUCCCAGAGUGUGUUUUGGUCCUACUGAGGUGGUAAUUUGCAGGCAAGUUUAUAUUUCAGGUUCAAGAUGCCAAUUUCUCAAUUCUUUGACAAGACAUCUCCAUGCAGAAAAUGAAUUAUGUGGAGUAAAUUUUAAAAAAUCUAUUUUCAAAUGGGUUUCAAAGAAAAAUUAUUUUCAAUUGGUACUCUUAAUACUUUUUAUUCUAGAAAUUUUUAUUCAAAUUGAUAUUGUCCAUGCUCGAAUCUGGGCACAUAUCCGUGGCUUCUGGCUUUGUGGUUUCUGUGAUUUGAAUACUUCGAUCAAAGCCUUCUCCAUGCUAGUCCACUCGAAAGGCUGCAUGGCUCGUAUAGUUGUAUGUUAUGGUUUUCCAAAAGCCAUCUCUAAGUGCAAUUCAGGAGUUUCCAAUUCACCUAAAAAGAUUCAAUAUUUUUGCCUUUGUUUAUUUUUGUUGAUGUUUUUCAUCAUUUUCUCAUCCUUGUGUUCAACUGUUCAUUGCCUUCUUGGACUUGGGUAGUCGGUGGUCCAGAAGAAUACUCCUUGUCCAUUUACAUUCUUUAUGCUUUCAGACGUCUCUUCAGUGUUAUCCAUACGUUUGCCAUCUGUAGUUGGGGAGAUGAUAUCCAUAUGCUGAAACAGAAUCAGGUUUGUUCCGCUUCUACGUGCUGCGUCCUCAAGAUAAUAUUUGCUGCUGCUGGCAAGCUAUCCUAAGAUUCCUGUCCCCUGGAUCAUGCAUUCCGGCAUCUCCCUUUGUGAAUUCUUAGUAGCAGAAAGUAGGCUAUGAUUAGUUUAGAUGCUCGUAAUUUACUAUUAAUGGAGACAAUUCAUAUGGCCAA